CAAGCAUGCAGCGGGUGCAUGGCUGGCACCCUGACGGCGGCUAGCUGUCCCUCCCAGAAUGCCCGCAAUAUAAGUUCGUCGUCGUCCUUCUCGGACUUCUUGUCCUCUUCUCUUGUUUGUCGAGCGUUCAGAGCGCGUAUCUCGUAUUUACUCCCCUCCAUUAUCGCUUGUUUUACCUGUCCUUGGUAACAUCCGAGAUAGUCACAUACCAUGCCUCCCCUCCCCAAUGAAGUGUGUUUGCUCACCGUCUUUGUUGACGUUCACUACUACUUUUCGGCUCCCACGCCACGCCCAUUGCACCACCGCUUCGAUAAAGGCUCGUAUCUCUACAUCUAUCAUGACGCCGCGCAGAACAAGGCAAGAAUGGAGAUCGCAAACCACCCAGGGAUGCCCGAGCAGGAUGCUUUCUGUGGCUCAUUGGGAGCUGUUCAUCUACGCAAUUCGGAUAAAUUCCCCACUCUCUGCACUUUAAUUGUAGAUGCUCAUCGCCAGAGUACAUCGGGGCCAUCAAUGCCUUCAAUCGUUGACCAGAAUGAGUGGCUGCUGCUCAACGUCGACCCUCGUGAUGAAAGCAGGGCUUUUCUUCGACUUCAUACCCUAGAUCUCUAUUUCUGGACUUCGGGCGACGCAACGCUAUUUUUGCAAAAUGCUCGUAAACUCCUAGCUCCUGCGCAACUCGAUAUUGUACCCGCGUCUCAGCAGCCCCAGGCGCAUGAAGUUGCGAUGAGCUCCGUAGUCCAGAAGCUGGAAAAUGUAGCGAUAACCGACCCGGCUUACCACAACGGUCAGACAAGAAACUCUCGCACUGAGGCUGUCCCAAUACAACAGCCACAACCACAGCUGGCGAUCCAGAAUUUUCCGCCUCCGCCUACCCAAUCAGCGAUAUCGGAGCCCGUCAGUCCCUUAGAAGCGCCCAGCACCCAGCCUGUUUCCAAGCAAGAGGAAGCACAGAUUAACUACACUCCCAUUGCGUACAAUCCAUCUGCCCCUGCGGCGCCAGAGCCCAUUAAACUACGCGAACAAACGCCGCCACCGCCAGAUGGGGUAACUGGAACAGGGCUUGCCGCAGCCGCCGUAUCGGACAGUGGGCAAGCAUUCGCUCCCCCGCCAAUGUCUCCCGGGUUUCCCCCUCCCCCACCCAAUCAGGCUCCGGGAUAUGGAGGACAGUAUGCAUCCAGCAUGUCGUUUGCACCGCCUCCUACCGCCGUACAGGCACCACCAUCAGUUCCAGGGGUUCCAGGCGCGGUACCGUAUACACCACCCCCACAGGACCCAAAUACACACUUGUUCAGACAGCAGAGUUUUGGACCGCCACCCGCAUCGCCUCACAGCUCAGCACAUCAACAUUACCAGGGGGGUUAUGCGGAUUACCGUCCUGGCCAAGCUCCUCAGCCUCCACAAGCUCCAAUGGGCGGAUACUCGAGCUACUCCUACGGCCAGUCACAGCAACAGCCGCCUGGUGGGAAUAUAUAUGAUGUUCACCACCAGGUCUAUCGGCCAACAGAAGCCGAAGGCAACGCGAACUACAUAAAACAGGGGCAAAGACAGUCAUCAAGUUCCCUGGGGAAAGGUGUGGGCAAGUUUCUGAAAAAACUUGACAAGCUUUAGGGCGUCCUUCUAAUAAGAGCCCCAUCUCGCUGCGGGAUGAUUAACUACUUUAAUUAGCUACUUUCAAUGCGCCGAAUCUGAAUUUGUCUCAUUUAUUCUGAUGGAUCUCACGUUUUCCGAACGGAUGAUGGGUAAUUUGUAUGAACUGUUUUGGUUAUUUUUUUUUACUUUGGUGUAUUUGUUCUGACACAUUUGUCCCGCAACACUUUUUUACGAACUUGAAUGAUACAGACGCUGCUCUUCAUUGCCUUAGUGCUUAACAUCCAUUUUGUCCCUGUUUUGAGUAUCUGGCUCUCGUAUCUAGCAUUUGCAAUUGAAUUCCAACAAAUCUUUUUGUUCAUUGUUCACCAGGCGCUCUAAGGGAAUAGAUUAACUUCAAGCUGAAUAGCUAAUCUCCUCAUGGACCCUUUCCCAGUUGACAAACAUCACCAUUGACGACGGGCGAUACCGCCAAGCUCCCAAAUAUUGAAAGGAUCCUUUGCCAUCAACGGCCCCAAAGCAUCCAAUCAACUUCUGACUUAGGUCAUGGAGCCUCCUGUGAGUAUGAGAUAAUUGGUAUUUCGCCAUGGAUGGUCAUAGCUUUGUCUAGGGUUGCCGUAUUCCAGAAAAUAUAUCAGAUUUUCUGUCACCUGGAACUCCAUAUCUCCCGUCUCGUCUGUGGUCUUCUAUCAGCCAGUUGAUAACGUUGGUAACGUUCAUAUUCGUUUAGCUUUUUGACCCUUACUCGCAUGUCGCAUAUAGCUCCGCUGGCAGCACGCAUCACCUCCACAGCUCGCAAAAUAGCGUGUGAGGAAGAUAGUUUGUUUUUCCUUCUCUCGUCCCUCAGAGCGCUUGUUAUUUUGAAAUUGUCAACCACGUCUUUAACCAGGCCGGAACCUUUUGAGACGGCUUCCAUCGGAGUUAAUCGCCAAGGUGUCUCCAGACAAGGUUUCUUUAGAAUGAAAUGGCUGUGUAUAGACGGCUACCCAACAGUGUUGUCGACAAGGACACAGCUAAGAAUCCGCGGAAGUCCUCUGUUUUUCACAAGAUCUCGCAGAUCUGACAAGCUCUAAUACCAACAUUGCCAGCGCCGUCAAGUACUUAUAUCAAAUGUUAUUGCUGCGGUGGGAAUUGCACACCCCAUCAUCCCCUGACAGCUGCUUGCCACGAGGCCUCGCCGGGACCUUGGAGACUUGUUGAAUAGAGGCACGACUUUUGCGGGCCACCCCGGCGUGUGGUACACCCUUUGUUGGCUAGCCUGCAUUCCUUAGCUAUCGCGAAGGCGACGUCUCCGCAAACCCCUUGCAUGCGUAAAUACGCCUGUCCUACCGUUCCGACCC
rnacentral:sRNA from 1 species